rnacentral:rRNA from 1 species
AUUGAACGCUGGCGGCAGGCUUAACACAUGCAAGUCGAGCGAGCGGCGGACGGGUGAGUAAUGUCUGGGAAACUGCCUGAUGGAGGGGGAUAACUACUGGAAACGGUAGCUAAUACCGCAUACCAUCAGAUGUGCCCAGAUGGGAUUAGCUUGUUGGUGGGGUAACGGCUCACCAAGGCGACGAUCCCUAGCUGGUCUGAGAGGCUGACGAGCCAACCGGGAACUGAGCCACGGUCCAUACUCCUAGGGUAGGCAGCGUUGGGUAAUAUUGCACAAGGGGCGCAAGCCUGAUGCAGCCAUGCGGCGGGUAUGAAGAAGGCCUUGGGGUUGUAAAGUACUUUCAGCGGGGAGGCGUUACCCGCAGAAGAAGCACCGGCUAACUCCGUGCCAGCAGCGCGGUAAUAC